rnacentral:lncRNA from 1 species
AUGGCCAAACCAGGGAUCCUUUUGCAUUGUGAUUGUGAAGACAGAAGAAGUCAACCUGAAAACAAACCACAGUUUGGAAUCAAGCCAAGGAUCAUCGGAAAGUACAGAAAAUCUGACCAUUCCUAAGAAGAAGAGUUGGAUUUACUCUCCUUAGGAUUUAAGGCCAAGUUCAAUAAAUAGUGGAUUUGGGGUGGACAAUGGCAUAUUUAUUUCUAUGUUGCUUCCUUUGAGGCAAGUUAGCCUUCUCUUCAGAUUGAAAAUUAAAAAAAAAUAGAAUCCAUCAUC